UCCCCAUUAACUGGGGCAGUUUCCUGUGACAUGUAUAACACAGGAUAAGGGUUGCGCUCGUUAACCGACUGAACGGGACACUUCACAGCACGAGCUGACGACAACCGUGCAGCAUCUGUCAUCUGGUUCCUUGCGGCACGGCCCUGUUUCUAGGGCUUUCCAGAGAUGUCAAGCCUUGGUAAGGUUCUCCGCUUAUUGACGAAUUAAACCGCACGCUCCACCGCUUGUGCAGGUCCCCGUCAAUUCCUUUGAGUUUUAAGCUUGCGCUCGUACUCCCCAGGCGGCCGACUUAACGCGUUAGCUUCGGUCCAAGAAGGGGUCGAUACCCUCCAAGACCUAGUCGGCAUCGUUUACAGCGUGGACUAC
rnacentral:misc_RNA from 1 species